rnacentral:rRNA from 1 species
GACGUAGGGCGCGAGCGUUGUCCGGAUUUAUUGGGCGUAAAGAGCUCGUAGGCGGUUUGUCACGUCUGCUGUGAAAGCCCGGGGCUCAACCCCGGGUGUGCAGUGGGUACGGGCAGACUAGAGUGCAGUAGGGGAGACUGGAAUUCCUGGUGUAGCGGUGAAAUGCGCAGAUAUCAGGAGGAACACCGGUGGCGAAGGCGGAUCUCUGGGCCAUUACUGACGCUGAGGAGCGAAAGCGUGGGGAGCGAACAGG